rnacentral:rRNA from 12 species
UAUGAAUGAACGAUGAAAAGAACCAGAUCAACAGCUCAGAGAAAGAGAGGGAGAAAUAUAGAAUUUAAAAACAAAGAGAAGGAAGAUAUAUGCAUGUGCUUUUGAACAAUAUUCAUUUGAUGUUCCCAUUUUUUUUCUUUCUGUUUUACUCCUCCCUUUCUUUUUUAGUCCCCUUUUUUUUCUUCCCCCCUUUUUUUUUUCUU